AUGACAUGGCGCCCAUCCAUCCAUCCAUCUCUCCAUCCCACAUCCAUCCAUCCAUUUAUCUACAGAAAAAAGAAAAAAAUGAAAAAGAGAUACCCCACCCGCAGCCCAAACCCUAGCUCAGAUCUCCCUUCCUCCGACAUCAAGGACCCGGAGCACCCCUACUCACUGGAGCAGAUACGGUGUGUGCUCUCCCAGGAGUCUGCCUCCGUCUCCCAGAUAACCUUCACCCCGACUGUGCAGCACUGCAGUAUGGCUACGGUGAUUGGCCUGUGCCUCAGGCUUAAGUUGAUGCAAAACCCGCGAGACUACACCACUGACGACCUGCGUCCUUCCCCGACCACGCCCACGACCUUUUGUGGAUUUGAUCAUUUAAUUGAGAUAAUUAUUGAUUGUUUGCAUUUGAAAUGUGUAAAAUGA
rnacentral:rRNA from 1 species